rnacentral:lncRNA from 1 species
UCAUAAUGAUUGUUCCUCCAGAGUCACGGCUUUGCAGUGACUGGGUCUGUUUCAAAGCAGGUAGCCCCGGAGAGCGUUUACUUCUAUUCCAGUAGUCGUCAAUCCGCCAGCAAGUGGCCAGCCGUUUCUUUAUAGCUGCUCUUUCCAUUUGUUUGGACGGACACAAAUCUGUUGCAUUGAAUCUGUUUGCAUUUUGAACGUAAUUACAUGCCUAGGAGGAAUAAUAUUAUUUAUUUGGUUUUGAGACUUUGUGUGAAUAUGGGUGAAUAUGGUGGCUGGAAAAAGACAGCAAAUGGCUUGUUGUUGUUGUUGUUGUUGUUGUUGUUGUUGUUUUUGCUUUCAUUCAAUGUGUGCUUUCAUGGAAGGAAGCGUUUUGAUAGAGCAAGCUAUAUAGACGCCCAUCAGAGAAGGAUAUAUUAAUAGUAUGCUGGGAGGCUUGUCUUGGCCUGACUGCAGUACAAAAGUAUUUGCCUUUUCAAAGGCUGAUUAUUUUGGAUUUUAUCCCAGAAAAUGCAGAAGCUGUUUUHAAGUGUAGCAUUCCAAAAAAGAACUGCUGUGAACUUUUAAGGAAAAUGGAAACUUGAGUGUAAAGAGGUCUGCRGGAUGCUAAAUCUACCACUGGUGUAAGCAGAAGUCAUUUUUGAGUUUCCUGAAGRCUUUUUGUGUGUAGCCUCUGGAAUUUCUUUCACUAGCUUUAGCAAUAUUGUUGACUAAUAAUCAAACAUGAAAAAUCAUAUUUAUUUCUUUGUGCCUGUCCUAUUGACUGUUUGUUUCCCUUGGAUGUUUUUAAAUCUCUCUCCAGCUCUUCACCCUUUGCASUUACCCACUUUYUUCCAGUGACUUAUUUGGCACAGUCUACUGYAAAACUAAUGCAUGGAAUCGUAUCUUCUUUUUUUCUCCCCAGCCACUGCUGAACUUGAAACUGGAUCUGCUGGAGCUUUCCCCAUGGUAUCUACYGAUGGAUCUUCAAAAAAUGUAAAUGCAGACCAGGAUCCACUUUCCAGGGCAAUACAGGAGUACCGYGAUGUUUUAACCAAAAAUUAUUUGAUUUGAUCAAAUACUAGGGAAAGGCUGUGUAAAUUAUAUGGUUUACUUAGCAUGUUAAUGGUUUUCCAUUAGAUAGUUUAGAUGUGAAAAAUCUUUAUUGCAGUUUGA